rnacentral:rRNA from 1 species
GAUGAACGCUAGCUACAGGCUUAACACAUGCAAGUCGAGGGGCAGCACAGUGUAGCAAUACAUGGGUGGCGACCGGCGCACGGGUGCGUAACGCGUAUCCAACCUUCCCGUUACUCUCGGAUAGCCUUCCGAAAGGGAGAUUAAUACGAGAUGGUGUUGAAAUUCCGCAUGUUAUUUCAACUAAGAUUCAUCGGUAACGGAUGGGGAUGCGUGACAUUAGGUAGAUGGCGGGGUAACGGCCCACCAUGCCCACGAUGUCUAGGGGUUCUGAGAGGAAGGUCCCCCACACUGGAACUGAGACACGGUCCAGACUCCUACGGGAGGCAGCAGUGAGGAAUAUUGGUCAAUGGCCGGAAGGCUGAACCAGCCAAGUAGCGUGAAGGAUGAAGGUUCUAUGGAUUGUAAACUUCUUUUAUACGGGAAUAAAACCACCUACGUGUAGGUGCUUGUAUGUACCGUAUGAAUAAGCAUCGGCUAACUCCGUGCCAGCCGCCGCCGUAAGAC